GGGCCCUGGGGCAGCGUGUGGGCACGGAUGGCAACUGUGCAGGACGCACAGUGACCAGGAGCAAAGACGGGAGGAACGCAGGCAGGGCGUGCUGCCAGCCAGGGGCAGCAUUCCCCAGGGUGCUGGACUAAGCGGGGACCUGCUGAGACGGGGACACGGGAGCACAGGACUGGGGAGUAGGAGGAACUGGCUUUCCUCAGCAGUGCCCUCAGGCCGCGCCCCGCCCACAGGUCCCGCCCCCGCACUCAGGCCACGCCCUUCGUAGGAGGCCCUGCCCUCUCCACCGAAGCCCCGCUGAGGCCCCACGCACGCACUCUUCGCAAACGCAGUUCUUCAGCCUUCGCUGAUAGAGAGUUGGCAGACUGCGGAGGGCGUUAGACAGCCCCAAAUCCUGGGCUGCCGGGAGGCAAUAAGAGCAGAAGAUGAAGGGCUUGGAGCCAGGGAUGAGCCUGAGGUCUUAGGGGAGGAUAGAGAACCAGAGAAUGAAAGCCGAGCAGGCUCCUUUAGCUUCUUGGAGAGAAGUGGGUUGAGAUUAGGAUGGAGCUGGCGGGGGCCUUUCUUCUUUAGGUUCAGGGGUUUGCCCAGGAGACCAGGGCUAGGGGUCAAAAAGAGCCAACGCCCAGCAGGCUGCCCUGAGUGCCACGGGGUCAGUCAGGCCCCUGGAAGGAAUGAUCCCGCUAUGGCCAAGACAUUUUUGGAACGUAUAGGAAAGCAUGUAGAACAAUUCAGCUUGAGCCUCACCAGGUCUUCCCAUGGUGCAGGCUCCACAUGCUCUGCCCUGGCCAGGUCUGCAGGGUAAUGGCUGCUCUGAGAAGGGCGAAGUCUGGACACAGACCCAGGCACACAGGGAGGAUGCCACGUGCUGACUGGAGUGAUGCUGCCACACACCAAGGAACCACCAGAAGUGGAGGGAGGCCUGGACAGAUCCUUCCGCAGAGCACAGCCCUGCUGACAUUUUGAUCUCAACUUCUGGCCUUCAGAACUGUGAGACAAUAAAUUUCUGUUGUUUAAGCCAUUUAGUUUGUGAUAUUUUGUUAUGGCAACCCCAGCAGACUAAUAUAGUUGUCAAUAAGCUAUUCUCUAGAAUAGCCUUUGAUAAUGUUAUAAGGGACUUUACAUAGUCUUUAAUAAAUAACAGG
rnacentral:lncRNA from 10 species